CCUGCAGUGCCACAGGAGCUCUUCUGUCCUGCCUUUCUUUGCAGAUGAACCUUCCGGUGAAGGUCCCACAUCCAGGACGGAGCCUCCGGGAGAUGCUGAGGGUGUGUCUGCCGGGAGGACUUCUCCAGGUCCAGGGCUGGAUGCUUGGCCCCAACCCAGCUCCCAUGGCAGGGGUCCUGCAAAAGGAAAGACCCAAGAUACUGCAGCCAAAACAUCUCAUGAGGCAGAUGAAUUCCUGAGACAAACACAGAAGCAAGCACCCCGAGGACAAGUGAUGGACCAAAAGGCUGUUCAGGAGGAGGAACACUCAGGGAGAAGCAGUGGCUCAUUGGCAGCCAUAGCUGCAGGAAGGAAGGUGAUGGCAGAGACGGGCAC